rnacentral:rRNA from 1 species
GUCCACGCCGUAAACGAUGGAUACUAGCUGUCCGGCGCAAGCUGGGUGGCUAAGCGAAAGUGAUAAGUAUCCCACCUGGGGAGUACGAACGCAAGUUUGAAACUCAAAGGAAUUGACGGGGCCCGCACAAGCGGUGGAGCAUGUGGUUUAAUUCGAUGAUACGCGAGGAACCUUACCAGGGCUUAAAUGUAGGCCGACAGGCCCCGGAAACGGGCUUUUUCUUCGGACGGCUUACAAGGUGCUGCAUGGUUGUCGU